AUCCUGAGUACCAAGGAACCACGUCAAUAUCGAACUACCUAACAAGACACGCUCGUUCACGUCAGCCUACCAUCACUGACCAAUCAGAGUGAAGAAGCGAAGGAAUCAACCAAUCAGGAAGCAGGAAGGGAAUGAGAGGGAGGCAGAAGGGGACAGGAAGUAGAAGGAAGGAAUUCAGUCACUUUCAGGAUAGCAAGGAAGGACGACGCAUGGAGGAAUAUAAAUUCUUAACGCGUGUACUUGUUGGCAUAGUAAAGAAUAAAUAAGGACGUAGACGAGGUGAGAGAGGAAGAAGGGAGGAAUUGAAAAAGGGAAGAGAAGAAUCUGGAUCAAGUUGCCACAGACGAACCUGAACUAUUGGGUGGAGGAAGAUGACAGGGCAGCAUGCAGAAUCCUUGUCACACAGGCCAGGAGGAUCUUGGGCAACUCCUUAGCAAAACGUGUGGUGAGGCAGCGUGGCGAGAUGAUACAACAGCAGUACAGACCUCAAUAUGCUGGGAAACCACUAGAUCUCCCAUGCCAACAGCCAACCAAGGGCAGGGUGAACAGGCUUGGUGCAGGCUGAGGAAGAGUUCCAUCUCUACUCCUCUGAGGUGCACCAAGCUAAUAGUGUCUUCCUUGUCCCCAAGAUCAUAAGAAUUCCACUGGAGUGUGUGUUCUUCAGUACAAGGCACACUGUGACAAGAAAAGUGUUGGCAGUGCUUUAGCUGAAAGAAUGAGUGUGCUGUCCUGCUGCUUACUCACUGCUGCUAUGGCCACCCUGGAGAGACUAAGCAUAUUGACACGGGACCACCACAGUGACUUAUCCAUAGAGCACCUCACAGCAUUGGGUGUGUUGACCUGAUGAUCCUUUCCACCUCAGCAGUGUUAACACGAAGUUGUAGGAUCUUCCUGAGCAGCAUUGACCUCCACUCCAGGACACUGGAAGUCAAACCCCACCAGUAAUCUCUUGGCAAUGGCUUUUUAUGACAGUUACAGCAAUAAACUUACUUGACUUCUGCUAUGACAAGAAUCUCAAUUAUAGAUAUGUUAUCUAUAUAAGUUUAGUGGAGUCAGCUGAGUCACGUACCUGGUCUUCCCUACUGAGUGCGGCCGUUAGUAGGGUCUAUAGGCAUCCUUGGGUCGCUUGAGCUGAACCUUUAGGCGCUUCAUGCCGAUCU